AAUCAUCUGAAUGAUCUUUCUUGGACAUACAUUUUGAAGUGACCCUUCGAAUUAAAAAGGUUCCUCAGCUGCUUUUGAGGAAAAACAUCAAUGUGCUUGGCCACUCUGGUUUUUAAAUGGUAUUCUGAACUAAAGCAAUGAUUGUUCAAGUUAGUUGAAAAUAGACCGUCUCUGGUUAAAUUAGUUCUACACCAAGCCUUUAGGUGGCAGUAAAACGAAUUGGCACAAUGCGAAUUCCACACACAAGCCACAAAGAAGCCAUCAGCCGCGGUCAACAGCACCUUCCUGAUUGAACAGAACCACGCGUUGUCUGUGUGGUUUACAAGUUUCUUGGCGAUAUGGGGGGAAAGUUCCUCACAUACCAACGGAAAAUGGGCUUCAUAUACAUGCUGCUGUCUCAUAAUAUGGCGAAGACGAGUCACCUGAAGGCCUAACUCGCCAUAGAAGACUGAAAGAAUUGUCCUGCAGGAUGCUGUGUCCUGCAAUCCUGUGUGCUGUGCUACAGACGCGUGUGGAGGUCAACCCAAAAUGGGCACAGUCUCACCACAGAAGAGUGAAAGAGGCUCCCAGAAGUGAGACUGAGUGCCUGUUGCAGUAUGACGAGGACGCAGUGACCAGAGACCUUCAGUAGACCCUGCUGGCAUGAUUGGCGUCUGAAGAACAUGAAAUCAACAGCAAUGUUUAUAAUGUUGUACAUACCUGUAUAGUCUGUAUUAAAAGGCAGUACCUGUA